CAUUUAAUCAUCUAAAUUUGUUGGUAAUAGGGAAGAAACUGGAGUGAUAUACUAAGGGCACGGCUACGGGAGUGAAGAACCUCAAUUAGGGCACGACUCAACCCUUGUCCAAACAGGCAAACACCACCCUCACCAGCCUCAGAGCUCCUCUGUUCGACUGCUUCUCGGCGCUCCUCUGGUCCAAUCGAACUGUUGAGUUUCGAAGAUGCUUCCCAGUGCCUUCUUUUUCUUCCUCCUCUGUUGACGACGACACCAUCACUGGCUUCUCACUCACUUCUUCUUCUUCUUCUUCGGCGCUCCUCUGCUUCUCAGUUCUACCACCAUCAGUCAGCCACCGCCUCUGCUCAACUGCCCCUUCCCCUGUUCCCAAGCUCAGCACUGUGUUCUUCUAAUGUCUGUGCAUUGCUAUUGAUGAAUUCAAGGGCAGCGGAGAAUGAAGUUAGAGAUAGAAAGUUUCAAAGAUGGUAAAUGCAAUGAUGGAAAAGAAAAAGAGAAGGUUCACUUUCUGUGCUGAUAAAGUGAUUAUGCUGGUCGGGUAAGUUGACACAGUUACACAACUAUUCACAGAUACAUGUACACAUAUUAUUUGUUGUAUCUUGUUGCUCAUUUGUUUUCAGGAGAUUAUUGAGGAGUUUUAGAAACUUGAAUUAGAAACUUGUGCAAUUAAACAAGUCUACGUCGGUUUUUCUUUAGCUGAUUACCGAGAAACCCAGCAUGCAAGGGGUCAAGUUAAAACGUCACGUCGUUUAAUCAGAUUCCUUGGAAUUGGAUUAUAGAAACAAACGCACCGUUAGCUCCAUCGUCCUCCAACAACACGAUGACGAUGACAAUUGUACCCUCCCUUCACUUCUUGCUCCCUCAGAACUCAAAACCCUUCCAAAUCCCUAAUUUUAUCCUGAAAACCCACUACGCCCCUUUUAAUUUCAGACCCCAAUUUUCCCGGGAAACAAACACCCCUCCUUCCUCCACCGACCGUGGCCUCAUUUUCCAGGAGAAAGUUCAGUACCUCGAGAAUCUCAAAGUGAACCCACAGAAAGCCUUCCAAGUAAACCCUAACCUCCGAUCCACACCACUUUCCACCGUCAAAUCCGUCGAGCAAUGCCUCUCUUCCAUGGGAAUCCACCGCUCCGCCAUGGGAAGAAUCCUCGACAUGCUCCCGGAGCUUCUCAACCGAGACCCCGCCACGGACCUCUAUCCGACCCUCGAUUUCCUCCUCAACGACGUUGGAAUCCCUUACCCCGACGUUCACAAAUCGAUCUCGCGGUGCCCUAGGCUCUUGAUCUGCAGCGUGGAGGAGCAAUUGAAGCCAACCCUAAAAUUCCUGAUGAAAUUAGGGUUCACUGGUUCGAAUUCCCUCACAUGCCAGAACACUGUGCUACUUGUUUCAAGCGUGGAGGGAACGCUCGUUCCGAAGAUAGAGUUCUUGAAAAGCUUGGGGCUUUUGGAAUCGGAGGUUAAUUGCAUGGUUGUGAGGUCCCCUGCUUUGUUAACCUACAGUGUAGAGAAGAAUUUGAAGCCUAAAGUUGAGUACUUUUUGAAUGAGAUGAAUGGAAACGUUUCAGAGUUGAAUCGGUUUCCGCAGUAUUUUUCAUUUAGCUUGGAAGGGAGGAUUAAGCCAAGGCAUAAGGUGUUGGUUGAGAAUAGGGUGAAACUACCUUUACAUCUUAUGUUGAAGGGUGAUGAUGGUGUUUUCUAUGAGACACUGAUUAAUACCCGGUUAAGAAAGCUUGAUGGAAGGUAGUUGUUGUAAAUUGGUUCUUGGUGAGAAUGGAAGAAGUAUCAUUCUUUUUCUGCUAUGAAUUGACAGUAUGAAGCAUGGUUUCUCAUCAAAAUGGUGGUGGAUGGGGAGUGGAUCGGCAUGGCUUCAUCGGACAUAAUUUUCGAAAAAAUGUUGGAAAUGCAACGAAAGCUUGGCCAUUUAAAUCCAUACUUGUUUGGUUUGUGUUAUACAGAUAAGAGGACUGCAUGUUAUUUGAUCAGAAGAGCCAUGAUCGAUGGAUUCCUUCCACUUCCUCCACUCUGUAGCCAAAAGAAAAAGAGGAUAACAAACGUAUCUUCCAAUAGUUUUGCUCAGAAUAUAGUGUGUAGUACUUUAUAAUAUGUGCAAUUUUGAUUGUCUUUGUGAUUAUGAAACCAGAGAUAUAAUCUUUUUGUUAAUAAUACCUGCUUAAUUUUCCCCGGCAUUCACUGUCCGAAACUAUGUUGAAGGAUGUUUGUGGAAUAUUUCGCCAUUUUUGUGUACUUAGAUGAUACUAAUAUUUGUCCAAUAUAUUAAGCAUGAUUUUGUUGGCUGCAUC